rnacentral:rRNA from 1 species
AUUGAACGCUAGCGGCAGGCCUAACACAUGCAAGUCGAGCGGAUGAAGGGAGCUUGCUCCUGGAUUCAGCGGCGGACGGGUGAGUAAUGCCUAGGAAUCUGCCUGGUAGUGGGGGAUAACGUCCGGAAACGGGCGCUAAUACCGCAUACGUCCUGAGGGAGAAAGUGGGGGAUCUUCGGACCUCACGCUAUCAGAUGAGCCUAGGUCGGAUUAGCUAGUUGGUGGGGUAAAGGCCUACCAAGGCGACGAUCCGUAACUGGUCUGAGAGGAUGAUCAGUCACACUGGAACUGAGACACGGUCCAGACUCCUACGGGAGGCAGCAGUGGGGAAUAUUGGACAAUGGGCGAAAGCCUGAUCCAGCCAUGCCGCGUGUGUGAAGAAGGUCUUCGGAUUGUAAAGCACUUUAAGUUGGGAGGAAGGGCAGUAAGUUAAUACCUUGCUGUCUUGACGUUACCAACAGAAUAAGCACCGGCUAACUUCGUG